UACGUAGGGUGCGAGCGUUAAUCGGAAUUACUGGGCGUAAAGCGUGCGCAGGCGGUUUUGUAAGCCAGAUGUGAAAUCCCCGGGCUUAACCUGGGAAUGGCAUUUGGGACUGCAAGGCUCGAGUGCGGCAGAGGAGACUGGAAUUCCUGGUGUAGCAGUGAAAUGCGUAGAUAUCAGGAGGAACACCAAUGGCGAAGGCAGGUCUCUGGGCUGACACUGACGCUCAUGCACGAAAGCGUGGGGAGCAAACAGG
rnacentral:rRNA from 1 species